UGCCUUACACAUGCAAGUCGAACGGCAGCGCGGGGCAACCUGGCGGCGAGUGGCGAACGGGUGAGUAAUAUAUCGGAACGUACCCUGGAGUGGGGGAUAACGUAGCGAAAGUUACGCUAAUACCGCAUACGAUCUAAGGAUGAAAGUGGGGGAUUCGCAAGAACCUCAUGCUCCUGGAGCGGCCGAUAUCUGAUUAGCUAGUUGGUGGGGUAAAGGCCUACCAAGGCAUCGAUCAGUAGCUGGUCUGAGAGGACGACCAGCCACACUGGAACUGAGACACGGUCCAGACUCCUACGGGAGGCAGCAGUGGGGAAUUUUGGACAAUGGGCGAAAGCCUGAUCCAGCAAUGCCGCGUGAGUGAAGAAGGCCUUCGGGUUGUAAAGCUCUUUUGUCAGGGAAGAAACGGUGAGAGCUAAUAUCUCUUGCUAAUGACGGUACCUGAAGAAUAAGCACCGGCUAACUACGUGCCAGCAGCCGCGGUAAUACGUAGGGUGCAAGCGUUAAUCGGAAUUACUGGGCGUAAAGCGUGCGCAGGCGGUUUUGUAAGUCUGUCGUGAAAUCCCCGGGCUCAACCUGGGAAUUGCGAUGGAGACUGCAAGGCUAGAAUCUGGCAGAGGGGGGUAGAAUUCCACGUGUAGCAGUGAAAUGCGUAGAGAUGUGGAGGAACACCGAUGGCGAAGGCAGCCCCCUGGACCUGUACUGACGCUCAUGCACGAAAGCGUGGGGAGCAAA
rnacentral:rRNA from 1 species